AAAAAAGGAACAUAAUCUCAUCCUUGGGAAGUGAAGCUGCUGAAGCUGCUGAAGCAGUUCAGAGUACUGAUUCUUCUGCUAAAGAGGAAGCAGAAGAGCAAGGUGAUAUCCUACAAGCUGAUGGACUAGCAAAAGAUGCAGAUCUUGAUUCUACUUAUGAUUCAGUCGAAUCAUCACUUAUUAUACAAGAAUCUGAAAGGGGUACUGAAGAUGAGAAUGCUCAGAACCAUACGGAAGCAAAAUCUGAUGGUGUAGAUACAGAAGCAGAUAUUGAGGUAGAAAA